rnacentral:rRNA from 1 species
UACGUAGGGUGCAAGCGUUGUCCGGAAUUAUUGGGCGUAAAGAGCUCGUAGGCGGUCUGUCGCGUCGGAUGUGAAAACCCAGGGCUCAACCCUGGGCCUGCAUUCGAUACGGGCAGACUAGAGUGCGGUAGGGGAGAUCGGAAUUCCUGGUGUAGCGGUGAAAUGCGCAGAUAUCAGGAGGAACACCGGUGGCGAAGGCGGGUCCCUGGGCCGAUACUGACGCUGAGGAGCGAAAGCGUGGGGAGCGAACAGG